AGCCUCCCGCCGGCCGCGGCGUGCUUGUGGUGCGCGGCGGCGGCAGCGCAGCCCCGCGCCGGGCUGGUCGCUGAGCUGCGCUUCGCCUCGCUGCUUUAUUUCCUCUAUAAAAAGCCAGCUGCAGAUUUUGAAUCUCCUGUCGUUAUCUACAGCAGAGCAGAGGAAUUUGAGAAUAUCCCAAGGAAGGCAUUGCCAGAGGACACGCACAAGGAUUUCAGCAAAGAUAAUGUCCAAGCAGAGAUGCUCCACUGGCAAGAGCUUGCUGUGCCAAACAUCAUGGGCUGAGUAGGAGGACUGCAUGUCUUGGCAGGUGCUGUUAGUGCUCUCUUUAUAUCCAAGAACACAAGCUCUAGGAAUUGCAUCUGGCACAAGAAGUAGAAGAUGGUCAUGUUUGUGACAGCCCUGAGCCCUGGAGAGAAUUCAUUACUUACUCUUCGAUGGGGCAGUCCUCCACCGGACAAACUAAACUGUCAUUUUGCAGAAGCCCAUUUAUCCGAGGGAUGCAGCUGCCAACUACAUGUUCAGUCUGAAGGUUGGAGUGAGUGGGUAGGCUGGCUCUGGCCCUUUGAGCAUCUUGUUACAAGGCUCAGAAUUUAUCUAGGGACCAGAAAAAGGAGAGAAGGCUUGGAUGAAGAAAAUUAAGAAUGAUAUUCCAUCUAUCUACACCAGGCUGUGUGAAGGUGAAGAAAUGAAAUGAAUAUGCCAAGCCCAAGCCAAAUCAGUGGCAGUCAGCCCAUAUGCUGAAAGUGCAGUCUUGUAAGAUAAUCAGCCCUACUGUGAAUUUCAUCUAAUGCCAAUCAUUGAUACAAAAAAAAAAAAAAAAAAAUCCCAGCAAAAGCAAUCUGUAUUUCCUCAAGUAGUUUGGAUAGUCAAACAGUAAGUCAUUGUGCUGAUGUGAAAAGCAAAACUCAUUUUAAAUAGAAAAGGAAAAUCACUCAUUUAGUUUCACUGACUGCAUUCAGUGACAGCUGCAGUGUUGCCAAUUAUGGCCAUUUUAUUGUAGGUCUUACAGUAUUCACUGUUUUUCUGGAAACAAGAAUUUCGUGCAACUCCUAUAAAAAAUGAAUGCCCUGAGUUUCUAGUCUUCAUGGUUGCAAAGGGCUUGAAGACCAGAAAUAAGCAUGCCUCAUUCAGAAGACCCAAAGGCAAAUAGAAAAUACGCUUUUUAUUGUUUGUGAUCAUCCUUUGAUUUUAAGUCAUGCUUUUUUUUUUUUUUUUUUUUUUUUUUGGCAGCCUGACUCACAGUUUUUAUAUGUUCAUAUUAGGCUACAGAAGCCCACAAAAAAUGAAAAGCAGUUGUGAGAGUCAUAAGGUAAUGCCUCUUACCCAGGUAAGAGGUCAAGGGCAGCAACCAAGCAAGUAAUGAAACAUUUUAUAUUUGCCAGCAAUUGCUGUUUCAUGUCCACACUGGCCACUUGGCAAACACCAAAAAAGGUAUUAAACUGAAGCACAGAAAGUUAAUGAAGAGCAGGAAGAUAGGAGGCUGACUUCCCAUCUAACCCUGGAAAAUAGGCUAAAGUUGAUCCUGAGAAAAAUAUACUAGAAUCUAACUGCUACUGUUGCAUUAAAGGAAGAUUGGGAAAGCAGAGAGGGAAGGCAUGUGUUUAUAUUGCAGAGCUACUAAUAAGAGGUUCCUGUUGUUGUUUUGAUUCUGCUGACUCAUCGAGCAGGGUUAGACCUACUUCAUUUCUCACUUCAGAGUAGAUGAGACUUAACUAUAGACCCAGACCCUGUCACAUUUACACACACUUUCUUCCCUGGUGAUGCUAUUGCAGAGUAAGAAACUGUAUAGUUCAUAGAAAGUUAGUGACUCUCAGGACCACUUAUUGAAACAAAAAGAAAAUACAAAGUACCUGCAGCACAGAGCUGCUCCAAGUGUUAGCUGAUCAGGUCUGUGCCUAAUGCAUCAAGGCAUUGGUGAGUCUAAUUUAGAUCUCAGGCCUGGAUCAACUACUGCCUUUCUAGAGCAAAAAGGCAAGAACUGAGGAAAGUUUGAGAGUUAAGAUUCAUUCAGCUUGCAAACCCAUGGACUCAUUGUCCAGAGAAGCUUGCCCAGCGUGAGGGACAGCCAUGUAGGUUCCCCCUUCCAUGCUCAAUUUUGAAACGGAAACAGAAAAGGUAAAGAACCCACUCAAUCACAACUUUCUGGAGAUGCUUCCAAAAAUGCUUCUACUUACACCAAUCUGUGACACUGUUCCAGAACUGAUGAGUCUAAAGCCCAGAGCAAAACCCAUACUUGUAAAAGCUGUAAAGGCCUUGAGCAUAAACAGCAUACAAGCACCACAACUUGCUAGUAAGAGUGCUAUUCAGUAUACUCUUAGGAGUUUUUCAUGUUUAACCAAAUGCUUGUUUCAAAAUACAAUUUUAAAAUUGAACCAGUUGCAUGGAUCAUUGAACACCAUUUGUUCAGGAAAUUGUGUUAAUACUGAUGAGUAUUAACAACAUAAUAUGUAAUUUAGAAAUGAUAGUUCAUAUGAUAGAUAUGCUUCUGUCAGUGACAACACUGCUCCAUUUCCUCAUUUAUAAAUUCCACCUUGGAGGUGUCCUUUUUAGAGUACAGAGCUAUUAAUAAGCAGCACAAGAUUUAGAAACUAGAUUUAUUAUAAUUGUAUUAUUAUGGCUACAUUCUUCAAAUGUAAGUAGUGAACUUCUCUCUUGAUUGUCUCCUCAUAUUUCAAAGACACUACAUGUGGAAUGAAUUCAGGCCAAUGUCUCAUUCGUGCUCUUAAGGAGGCCCUUAUAUUUUUACUUUUGAUUGGAAACAUUUUGCAUUGUUUUCAUUUGCUUGGUGAUCUCAAAGAAAACAUUGUCUUGGUGGAAUUCCUAAUUCCUAAAUUAUCUAGUUCACAUUUAUUUUCAUUACUCCAGUACACAAAAAUCAGGAUGGGCAGCUAAAGAUCAUUCUGUAUUAAGUGCACAUUUCAAGACUUACAGCUGCAAUAAAACCCUCACCUUUAUACUUAUUGGCUCAAGAACUUCAUGGACCCCUUUUAUUACAUAUCCAUAACUUACAGCAACAUAAAAACACAUCAUUGUUUUUCUUGAUAAUUUUGCCAUCCUGCUAUUUUAUGAGCCAAUAAUCCAACUCUCAGUCUGUGAGUACAAACACCAGGUACUGUAUCUUGACAAAAGAAUUGGAUUAUUGCCAAAUAAAAGUCAGACUAUUA